AUUAAACGCUGGCGGCAGGCUUAACACAUGCAAGUCGAGCGGGGUGAUGGUGCUUGCACUAUCACUUAGCGGCGGACGGGUGAGUAAUGCUUAGGAAUCUGCCUAUUAGUGGGGGACAACAUCUCGAAAGGGAUGCUAAUACCGCAUACGUCCUACGGGAGAAAGCAGGGGAUCACUUGUGACCUUGCGCUAAUAGAUGAGCCUAAGUCGGAUUAGCUAGUUGGUGGGGUAAAGGCCUACCAAGGCGACGAUCUGUAGCGGGUCUGAGAGGAGGAUCCGCCACACUGGGACUGAGACACGGCCCAGACUCCUACGGGAGAUAGCAGUGGGGAAUAUUGGACAAUGGGGGGAACCCUGAUCCAGCCAUGCCGCGUGUGUGAAGAAGGCCUUAUGGUUGUAAAGCACUUUAAGCGAGGAGGAGGCUCUUUUGGUUAAUACCCAAGAUGAGUGGACGUUACUCGCAGAAUAAGCACCGGCUAACUCUGUGCCAGCCGCCGCCGUAA
rnacentral:rRNA from 1 species